CCUCUUCCGGUGCGAGGGACCGGAAGUUGUAGCCCGGCCGUGUCAGCCUUGGGUCUGCGGACCUAGAGUGCAGCAACCACUGCGACCAUGGGCGGGAAGAACAAGCAGCGGACCAAGGGGAACCUGAGGCCUUCAAACAGUGGUCGAGCUGCAGAACUCCUUGCCAAAGAACAGGGAACAGUACCUGGAUUUAUUGGUUUUGGAACAUCUCACAGUGACUUAGGCUAUGUUCCUGCUAUUCAAGGAGCUGAAGAAAUAGACAGUCCUGUAGACUCUGAUUUUCGAAUGGUGCUGCGGAAACUUUCCAAGAAAGAUGUCACAACAAAGUUAAAAGCUAUGCAAGAAUUUGGAACCAUGUGUACAGAUAGAGACACAGAAAUUGUAAAAGGAGUACUUCCAUAUUGGCCAAGAAUUUUCUGCAAAAUUUCACUUGACCAUGACCGCAGGGUUCGAGAAGCUACACAGCAAGCCUUUGAAAAACUUAUCCUUAAAGUAAAGAAACAUUUGGCUCCCUACUUGAAAAGUGUAAUGGGAUAUUGGCUAAUGGCUCAGUGUGAUACAUACACACCAGCUGCACUUGCAGCAAAAGAUGCAUUUGAAGCUGCUUUCCCUCCAAUCAAGCAACCUGAAGCCAUAGCAUUUUGUAAGGAUGAAAUUACAAAUGUACUACAGGAUCAUCUUCUAAAAGAAACAGCUGAUACUCUUAGUGACCCUCAAACUGUUCCAGAGGAAGAGAGAGAAGCUAAAUUUCAUCGAGUUGUAACUUGUUCCUUAUUGGCAUUAAAGAAAAUGCUUUGCCUCUUACCUAAUAAUGAACUUGAUUCUUUGGAGGAGAAAUUUAAGUCACUUUUAUCACAGAAUAAAUUUUGGAAGUAUGGAAAACACAGUAUACCUCAGAUCCGCUCAGCAUAUUUUGAGUUAGUUUCUGCUUUGUGCCAGCACAUUCCCCAGCUGAUGAAAGAUGAAGCCUCCAAAGUGAGCCCAUCCGUUCUACUUAGCAUUGAUGACAGCGACCCUAUUGUCUGCCCAGCUCUCUGGGAAGCUGUACUCUAUACACUUACAACUAUUGAGGACUGUUGGCUUCAUGUAAAUGCAAGAAAAAGUGUUUUUCCCAAGCUGACGGCUGUGGUUCGUGAAGGUGGCCGGGGCCUGGCUACUGUCAUACACCCUUACCUUCUGCCGUUCAUCAGCAAACUCCCUCAGUCUAUUAUGGAGCCAAAGCUGGAUUUCUUCAAACAUUUUCUCAACUCUCUAGUUGCAGGGCUAUCAACAGAGAGAACCAAAAUCAGCGUUUCGGAGUGCUCAGCAGUGAUAUCUGCAUUUUUUGAAUGCUUACGUUUUAUAAUGCAGCAAAACUUAGGUGAAGAAGAGAUGGAACAGAUGCUUGUCAAUGACCAGUUGAUCCCUUUAAUUGAUACAGUGCUCAAAGACCCAGGAUUACAACAUGGGCCGCUAUUUAACCAUUUAGCAGAAACACUAAGUUCUUGGGAAGCCAAAGCAAACAUAGAAAAAGAUGAGGAAACCAUUUACAACUUGGAGAAUGUACUUUUAAAUUUCUGGGAAAGACUGUCAGAGAUCUGUAUUGAGAAAAUCAACAAGGCAGAAGCUGAUGUUAAGUCUGUUUUGAGUGUGUCUAACCUACUACAGGUCCUUCAGAAGACAAAAGACUCACUGAAGUCAAAUAAAAAAAAGAACGGCAAGGUUAGAUUUGCUGACGAGACCCCUGAAGAAGAUGGAAAGACACUGAAAGAGAAUGGAAAGUGUAUGUUCUCAGGAGAGCACAGCGAAGGCUCCGAAGAGCUGACGGAAUCUCCUCUCAUUGAUAAUUCUUCAAACCUUGACCUUGUGUCUCCUUUAAGGAAGAAACCUUUGGAAGACCUAGUCUGCAAGCUUGCAGAGAUGAGCAUUAGUUACGUCAAUGAACACAAGUCAGAGCAACACCUACAAUUUCUUUCUACACUGCUUGACUCCUUCUCUUCAGGCCAAGUAUUUCAAGUGCUCCUUGGUGAUGAAAAAAAGGAUAUUGUCAAAGCCAAAUCACUUGAAAUAACCAAACUUGCACAAAAAAAUCCUGCGGUACAGUUUUUGUAUCAUAAGCUGAUAAACUGGCUAAAUGAAAGUCAAAAGGAAGAUGCUGGUUUCCUGGCGGAUAUCUUGUAUAGCGUCCUCCGUUGCUGUGACACUGACCUGGAAAGGAAAGAUGUCUUGGAAGAUCUAACCAAGGAGGACCUGAAAUGGAGUUCUCUUCUUCAGAUCAUUGAAAAGGCAUGUUCUAGUUCAGAUAAACAUGCUUUAGUAACCCGUUGGCUAAAAGGCAGUGUUCUUGGAGAGAAAUUGGUUGCCUUGACAGACUGUCUCUGUAAUAUCGAUUUGGAAUCCACAGUGUCUUCAGAAUCUUACUUCUCGGGACAAUGGACUCUUCUAAGUUUGGCCUUAUCACAACAUGUUAAAAAUGAUUACUUGAUUGGAGAAGUAUAUGUUGAAAGAAUUGUUGUUAAGCUUCAUGAAACUUUAUCCAAAACAAAGGACUUGUCAGAAGCUGAAAAUAGUGCCUCGUCAGUGUCUUUUGUCUGUGAUGUGGUCCAUAGCUAUUUCAGCUCCACAAAAGGAUGCUUGCUAGUGCCAUCAUCUGAAGAUUUGUUAUUAACUCUCUUUCAGUUAUGUGCUCAGAGCAAAGAAAAAACACACAUGCCAGAUUUUCUGAUCUGUAAACUGAAAAGUACUUGGCUCUCCGGUGUAAAUUUGUUGGUCCAUCAAACUGACAGUACACAUAAGCAGAGUACCUUCCUACGCUUGUCUGUUCUGUGGCUGAAGGACCAGGUUCAGUCUUCAUCUUUGGAUAAUACAAGCCUGCAGGUCCUCUUGGCUGCUGUUGAUGAUUUGCUGAGUAUACUUGUAGAGAGUGAAGAUACUGCUCUUCCUGGAGUUUAUAUUGGAAGUGUAAUGCCCAGUGACAGUGACUGGGAAAAGAUGAGACAGUCUCUUCCUAUUCAGUGGUUACACAGACCUCUUUUAGAGGGAAGAUUGAGUUUAAAUUAUGAAUGCUUCAAAACUGAUUUUAAGGAACAAGAUGCAAAGACGCUUCCUAGCCAUUUGUGUACUUCAGCGUUAUUGAGCAAAAUGAUCUUAGUUGCACUAAAAAAGAAAAUAGUCCUAGAAAACAAUGUUGUUGAGAAAAUAAUUUUAGAACUGCUGUAUUCACUGCAGUGGUGUGAAGAACUUGACAAUCAACCUGCUUCUCUAACUGGAUUUUGUGAAAUGCUUCAGAAAAUGAAUAUUACAUAUGACAGCUUAUCAGUACUUGAUAAUACUUCUGGCCUUUUGGAACUAUUAUUUAACAGAUCCAGGAAAAACGGCACACUUUGGUCUCUUAUUAUUGCUAAGCUGAUCCUUUCCCGAAGCAUUUCAUCUGAUGAAGUAAAACCAUAUUAUAAAAGGAAAGAAAGUUUCUUCCCAUUGACAGAAGGUAAUUUACAUACCAUCCAAAGUCUCUGUCCAUUUUUGUCAAAAGAAGAAAAGAAAGAAUUCAGUGCUCAGUGUAUACCUGCUUUUUUGGGCUGGACUAAAGAGGACCUUUGCAGUAUCAAUGGAGCUUUUGGACAUCUUGCCAUCUUUAAUUCUUGUCUACAAACCAGAAGCAUAGAUGAUGGACAGCUAUUACAUGGCAUAUUAAAAAUUAUAAUGAGCUGGAAGAAACAGCAUGAAGAUGUUUUUCUUUUCAGUUGUAAUCUAUCAGAAGCAAGUCCAGAGGUACUUGGCAUAAACAUAGAAAUAAUUCGAUUCCUUUCCCUGUUUCUGAAAUACUGCUCAUACCCUUUGGCAGAGAGUGAAUGGGACUUCAUCAUGUGCUCCAUGUUGGCUUGGCUGGAGACAACAAGUGAGAAUCAGGCAUUGUACCCUGUUCCACUUAUACAGCUGUUUGCCUGUGUCAGCUUUGAUUUAGCUUGUGAUCUCAGUGCCUUUUUUGAUUCAUUAUCUCCAUAUAACCUUGGCAACCUUCCUGUAAAUCUAAUCAGUGAGUGGAAAGAAUUUUUUUCCAAAGGUAUCCACAGUUUGCUUUUACCUCUUCUGGUGACUGCUAUAGGAGAAAAGAAAGAUUUGUCUGAAACAUCCUUUCAGAAUGCAAUGUUGAAGCCUAUGUGUGAAACAUUGACAUACAUCUCAAAGGAUCAGCUGCUGAGUCACAAGCUUCCUGCAAGAUUGGUUGCUGGCCAAAAAACAAGCUUGCCAGAGCAGCUGCAGACUUUGCUAAAUACCCUGACCCCGCUGCUUCUCUUCAGAGCUCGGCCUGUGCAAAUCGCUGCUUAUCACAUGCUCUACAAACUGAUGCCUGAAUUACCACAGUAUGAUCAGGAUAAUCUAAAGUCAUACGGAGAUGAAGAAGAAGAACCUGCCUUGUCACCCCCGGAAGCACUGAUGUCUCUCCUCAGUGCUCAAGAGGACCUGCUAGAGAACGUUCUGGGUUGUAUUCCCGUGGGGCAGAUAGUUACCAUCAAACUGCUGAGUGAGGACUUCUGCUAUGUUCUGGGAUACCUCCUUACUUGGAAAUUAAUACUUACUUUCUUCAAAUCUGCUUCAUCUCAGCUCCGGGCUCUGUAUUCAAUGUACCUUCGGAAAACAAAGAGUUUGAAUAAAUUACUCUAUCACCUGUUCAGACUUAUGCCAGAAAAUCCAACCUAUGGAGAGACAGCUAUUGAGGUAUCAAAUAAGGACCCUAAAACCUUCUUUACUGAGGAGCUCCAACUGAGUAUUAGAGAAACAUCAACUCUUCCAUAUCAUAUCCCACACUUGGCAUGCUCAGUCUAUCGAAUGACAUUGAAGGACUUGCCUGCCAUGGUCAGGCUGUGGUGGAAUAGCACUGAGAAGCGUGUUUUCAAUGUUGUAGAUAGAUUUACAAGCAAGUAUGUCAGCAACGUUCUUUCUUUUCAAGAAAUAUCUUCUGUUCAAACAAGCACACAGCUAUUUAAUGGCAUGACGGUGAAAGCUCGUGCUACUACUCGAGAAGUCAUGGCCACUUACACCAUUGAGGACAUAGUCAUUGAGCUUAUAAUACAGUUGCCUUCGAAUUAUCCAUUGGGUUCGAUAACAGUGGAAAGUGGGAAAAGAAUUGGGGUGGCCGUCCAGCAGUGGCGGAACUGGAUGUUGCAGUUAAGCACUUACCUCACCCAUCAGAAUGGAAGUAUUAUGGAAGGCUUAGCAUUAUGGAAAAAUAAUGUAGACAAACGGUUUGAAGGUGUUGAAGAUUGCAUGAUCUGCUUCUCAGUUAUUCAUGGUUUCAACUAUUCUCUUCCCAAAAAGGCCUGUAGAACAUGCAAGAAAAAGUUCCAUUCAGCUUGCUUGUAUAAAUGGUUUACAUCUAGCAACAAAUCGACUUGCCCACUUUGUCGUGAGACCUUUUUCUGAGGUUUUUUCCAUUAGAAGAGAUCCCUGAAAUAAGUCAAGCAAAGACAUUGCAUUGGAUCCAUCUUAAAGUACUGAUGCGAGGAAGCCAUAUUGGUUCUUCUUGGCUUCGGAUCCAGGCCCGAGUAGAAGAAAAGGCAAAGCAGCAGGGCACUGGUUCCCGCUGUGCUAGGGCGUCAGGCUCUUGAUGAAACUACUCUUCAUACGUAGAACUCUUAGUACAUUUCCUUAAGACUUGUAUGUAUAAUUGUAAAGCUUGUUACUGUUUAUAGGCUUAAGAAAAAGCUUUCCAAAGUAAGACUUGAAAUUCAGAAUACCACAGUAAAGUUUUACUUAUUUAGCUUUGACAACACUAAGAAAAAGGAUACUAGCCCUUACAAUUUUAACAUAAAGCAAUCUUAACUGCAUGAGAGUCAAAGACCAUUACAAAAUUAUUUAAAACCCCAAAGUAAAUUGCAAUUUUUAAAAUUUGUUUUUGAUUCUUAAUGUAUCUCAUGCUCUAAUGUAUGUAUAUACUUUUCUGUGGCUUAAAUAAUGUUAAUACUUGAUAACAUUUUUGUGGUGUGAAUAAUUGUUAUUUGUUAUACCAUAUGUGCCCAUUAAAUUUCUUUUUAAUUAUAAAAUAUUUCCAAUAUACAGAGAAUGUUACUAUAAAUUCCCCUGUAUUCUUCCCGUACUAUUUUGCCACAUUUGCUUCUGGUUUUUAGAGAAAUAAAAUGCCACUCUUUUGUACUCCUCUCUGGUGCCGUUCUCCUCCUUCCUCCCCAGAGCCAUCUUACAGCUCUCAAGUUUGUGGACUUCCUUCCUACUUGACAUUUUCCUACUUCCUGCUACAUGUUUAUAUCCAUAAACGAUAUGUAGCAUUUUUCACUUUUCAAAGACUUGAGUGUGCCAUCCUGCUGUGCAAUCCUUGUAACUUGCUUUUCUGUUUACCUCUGUUUAGUAUACUUGGCAGUCCACCUAAUAAUCACUUGUUAUUUUGCCAUUUUGGAGAAAUGCUGCAGGUGUAUUAAUUAGCAUUCUUCCUCACCAAAUGUGGUAGGCAUUCUGGAGGGUGGGUGUCAACAGUGGAAUUUCAGGUAUUGGGAUAUGUACACUGUUAUUCUACAUGAUGUCAGAUUGCUCUUGAAAGUAGUGUACAAGUAAGUGUGCACUCCUACCAGUACAGUGACAGAAUUCUGCAUUUCCUGCCUUGUCACUCAUGCUUAGUUUCAACGGAAUUCUUCAGUUUCUAGUUGGAGAGCUGUGGGCUAGGCAAGUAUUGUAGGGCUGAGCUACAUCUUCUGUCCUUUAUAAUUUAUAUUUUCCUAACUUCUGACAGACCUAGUUUUGUUGAUGCUUACUAGUAAUUAUUUUACAAACGUGCUGUCAAUAAUCUGUGCUUGUUUUUCUACCCAAUUACCUAUAUUUUUACGUGGGUCACAUAAUGCUUAACCUGUUAGCCAGUCACCUAUGUACUUUGUCCUCAACAUGGUGUGUGACUUUAAUUUUGUAGAAGUUUUCCACGUAAUUAAAGUGAUCAUUCUUUUCCUUUA